GCAUUCACUGUCGAAUGGAUUCUUCCACUGAUCAAAAUCCAAUAUGGCGGACUCAAUGGGUUGCUGGUGAAGAUAUAGACCGAGUUUUAUGGAUGACACGCACCAGUUUUCCUAUUUCGAACCGGCAAUUUCAGAUCGAAUUUCCUCCACUCAUUUUUGGACAAUUUUUGAUUACAUAUAGAUCUCAUGACGUGCUUUACUUUGAUAAGACUAUAUAGGCUAUAGCUGAAGUUUAAACGAUUACUUUUUUGUGCGAUGAUGGAGGUGUUUUAAGCUUUUAUUGGACUUAAAGUGUACAAUUUUACAGAUUCUCGAAAUUAUAUACAUGUGUAUCACUAUGUAUAUUAAUUGUUUUAAUUUCAGAUAAUUUUCCAUACAUAUGGAAAGAAGAAAUAUAUGAUAGUGGGUGAAAAAACACCCUCAUAUAUAAUGCUUCAUGAAUAUGCAAAACCAUGCCAACAGUCUACAGACUCCAGAUGGAAAGAGAUGGAGAAAGAAUUUCUAAAGGGGUAUUCAAGGACCCAUCCUCCUCCACACUAAUUCAUAUUGGAAGGAAUUGACACCAACUUGAAGAAAGAAUUACAGACUUCCAGAACAGGUGCAUCAUGCAGAUCCUUUUAAAAAGGAGAGGCCAGAUCUUCAGAUGACUUUAUUGAAAAUGAGAAAUUUCUGAGUGGAAGUGACGAAUGUGGCAUGCAUACAAGCAGACAUCAGCAUUCCUUCCCUCUUGUUUGUAUCAGAGGUGAGCUUUUUGAGAAAGACUCAUGGAGGAAGUUUGAGAGUGUCAGUUCUCAGAUCAAAAAGUUAGCUAGCAGUAGGAGGAGUAGCAAUUCAUUCCACAGUAUGACAUGAGAAAUACAUGACUAGAAAGACCUUAAAAAGGAGAUUUGGCAUUGUUUCAUGUGGAGAUUAAAGAACCUUCGAAAUAUAUAACGCAGACAUGUUUCAGUUACAUGGGGAUAACACUUAUGAGGAAUUUUGCUAACUUUCAGAUUGGAUUGUGUUGCACAAGAAAUGCUUGAUCACAACCCUCUUCUGUUAAAAACCUUUUCUAUGCAAAUAAUUAGUUUAAAUGAAAUUUAGCUAUUUCAUUAGUAAACAUGUUUUAUGCGCAAGUGUGUGUCUUUGACAUUAAAUGCUAUGAUAUUGUCGUAUUCUUAAACAAUGGAAGAUCUAUACUAGUUCUUUCAAAGGAAAGCCAACAACAGGAAUCGAACCUGUUCCUCCAUCGUACAGAUACGAAAGUGUGCACCAUUACACCAUGUUGGCAUACAUUAAGAACUGGUAGCCUUGGAGAGUAAAUAUUGCAUUAUUCUGUACAGUUGAUACUGGUUUGUGAUAUAUAUAUAUAUACAAGUAUAUAUAAUGUAUGCCUCAUGUUUGGUAGUCGUCAAUAAAGCAUUUGAAUUGAAUAUAUUCCUUGUU